rnacentral:rRNA from 1 species
CUUGGGAGAUGUAUAGUCCUCUUAUGAGGCUAGUUAUGUUUGUUAGAGCUCUAUAAUACAUGAGAUGCUUCAAACAUAAAACCAACUACGUUGGAUAAAGUUCUAGAUAGAAUACUGAUUGUGACAAUUUUCUAUCUACUUGUCUUGACCAAAUUACGUGCCAGCAGUCGCGGUAAUACGUAAAAGACUAGUGUUAUCCAUCUUUAAUAGGUUUAAAGGGUACCUAGACGGCGAUUAUUAACCUUAAAAACGGAUAUAAUUCAUGCUAGAGUUUGAUAAGAGAAGGGGAGUAUUUUCGGAGUAGAGAUAAAAUUCUUUGAUACCUUAAGGACUGGCAAUGGCGAAAGCGACCUUUUAUGUAAAAACUGACGUUGAGGGACGGAGGCUUGGAUAGCGAACAGGAUUAGAUACCCUAGUAGUCUUUGCAGAGAAUGAUGAAUGCCAUAGACUAGAAAAAUUUAGUUUAUAAAUGAAAGUGUAAGCAUUCCACCUCAAGAGUAAUGUGGCAACGCAGGAACUGAAAUCAUUAGACCGUUUCUGAGAACAGUAGUGAAGUAUGUUAUUUAAUUCGGUAAUCCUCGAAAAACCUUACCACACCUUGAAUAGCAUCAUGCCACUAUGAAGUAGAAACAAUGUAGAUUAUAUAUGAAUAUAUAUAUAUUGGCUCCAAAAGUAGAAAAGGUAAAGUCUAAAUAGAUGUGCCCUUUACUUCUGUAAAGGGUAUUUAGUGCUUAGACUUUUAUCAGAGUGAUGUUACAUACGUUGCACGGUUGUCUUCAGCUAAUGUCGUGAGAUUUUGGUUAGUUCCAUAAAAUUAGCGUAAACCCCGGCUUUAUUUUUAAAUUUUUAACAUAGAGCAGUUCAUCACUAUAUUGAAUACAUGAUAACAGGGAUCAAGAC